rnacentral:lncRNA from 1 species
UGCUAUUGAUAUUGAUAUGAUGUAUUCACAUGCUAGAGUAGGCUAAGUAUUCCUAUUAGGACUAGAGUGGCCUGAUUGUGAUGCCUUAGCCUAGGAAGUGGUGAGCUGCUAUGAGAUGCUUGAGAGUGAGUAGGUAGGAGUGAGAGGCUUAUGAGGGAUCUAUUAGAGAAUAGCCUGUGCAUGAUAGGGUACUUGGAAUUUGGGAUCCGAACAAGAGGACUUGGGGUGUAUUCUGAUACGGUAUAGUAGUAUUGGGCCCGUACUACUGAAAGCACCGGAGCGGUGUACAACUCAAGUAAGAAUCUUUGGAACACCAAGGAUCAAGGAGGAAUGAGUUAUCGAGUGUGAGUAUGCCCGAAGGGGUUCUAAUUUUUCAUAUGUUGUAUUUCAGAGGUAGAUCAUGGUGAGGACACGUUUGAUACCUGAGGGCAGUGAUACCAGUGAUGAAGAGAUCCGCCGGAUCAUCCACUAGGAGGUGGCUGCGGCCAUCAGGGCAGAGAUACCAGAGAUGUUCGGGUCUAUUAAGACCCCGCUGAUUAAGGCCUUUGAUGAGCGUUAUGCCACUCUUUCUGAGGCUGCUGUUGCAGCGGCCACCGCAGCUAUUGCUGCUGCGAGGCCGCAAGGUGGUGAUGCGUUGCUGUUCCGGGAGUUCAGCAACACAAAACCACCAGAGUUUGAUGGGACCCAGUACCCAGUGGCAGCUAUAAGGUGGAUUUCUGCUAUAGAGGGUUGUUUCUUCACUUGCUCAUCUCCUGAGCAUUUGAAGGUUCGGUUCGCGCUAAACCAGCUUCGCUUGGGAGCGAAGGACUGGUGGAAGUUUGUGACAGCGCAUUUUACGCCUGCUGAGCUUGCGGUAGUGGCCUGGGAGAGGUUCACUGCCAUAUUCCGAGGUCAGUACGUUCCCUAGGUGGAGAGGGAGCAUUUCGCACAGGAGUUUCUGACCCUCAAGCAGGGUACUGAGUGAGUUACAGCGAUCACCAGGAUGUUCCAUGAGAGGGCGAUCUUCUACCCUGAGCACGUGUCCACUGAGCAGGCAUGUAUGAGUCGAUAUUUGAGUAUUUUGAGGCGACACAUUCAGGAGUUUGCGGCAAACUCCUUGUACCGGACAUUUGUUGAGCUUUAGGCAAAUGCCCAGAAGAGGGAGAUUGAGCUGGAGACUCAGGCCAGGGAGGAGGCAGAGUCUCAGGGGAGGGAUCGGCGACCGGCACAGUCUCAGCCGGCAGCCAAGGGGGCCAAGCCCGCUGAUCCCAAACCACGGAGCCAGAAGGGCCUCACUUGUGGGAAGUGUGGCAAGGGUCACGAUGGAGUCUUCAGAGCAGGAUCUUGCUACAAAUGUGGCAACGAGGGGCAUAUGGCCAAGGAUUGCCCCAAGGGGUUUGUAGUGUGCUUCCACUGCAAUCAGACCGGACACCGGAAGGCAGAGUGUCCGCAGUUGCGAGGGUCAUCUCAGGGAGCACCUCAGGGAUCUGCCCCUGCCGCCAUCAGAGCUACCGAGAGUCGGCCAGUGAAGGCCGAGGCGCCGAGGGCACGAGGGAGAGCCUUUCAGUUGACCGCGGAGGAGGUCCGCGCAGCGCCCGAUGUCGUGGCUGGUAUGUAUUCUUUCGUGUAUUUAUUUUGAUGUUGAGAUAUUAUGCUUAUAUUAUGUUAUGCGUAGGUACUUUUCUUGUGAAUUAUGUACCUGCCUUGGUGUUAUUUGACUCGGGUGCGAGUCGGUCUUUUGUAUCUUUGGCUUUUACUCAGCAUAUCAGUGUUAGUCGUGAGGCGUUGAGUCGGCCUCUGAGAGUUUACAUAGCUGAUGAGAGGGUGAUUUAUGCCACGGAGGUUCUCGGAGGUUGCGUAUUCGAGAUAUUCGGUGUUGAGUUCCCGAUUGAUCUGGUUCCUAUUGCGAUGGGUGAUGUCUGUGUCAUUGUGGGCAUGGACUGGUUGAGCAGAUUCGGUGCGGUUAUCGACUACGAGUGUCACCUGGUGACCAUACGAGACCCUAGUGGGGGAGUUCUUUCGGUGUACGGCGAAGGUACACGUUCAAGAUCAACGUUUUGUUCGGCCACUAGAGCGAGGCAGUGUCUACAGCAGGGCUGUAAGGGUUUUGUGGCGUAUGUGAUGGAUACGCGGGUGGAUUCCGAGAGGCCGAGUUCAGUUGAGGAGGUUCCGGUGGUGCGUGAGUUCCCGGAUGUAUUUCCCGAGGAGUUGCCGGGUGUGCCUCCUGUGAGGCAAGUGGAGUUCAGUAUCGAUUUGGUUCCGGGGGCCGCGCCUAUCGCUAAGGUGCCUUAUCGCCUUGCACCUCCAGAGAUGCAAGAGUUAUCCUCGCAGCUUCAGGAGCUGCUGGGGAAGGGGUUUAUUCGGCCGAGCAGCUCGCCGUGGGGAGCGCCUAUCCUGUUCGUCAAGAAGAAGGAUGGUUAACAUCGGAUGUGCAUUGAUUACCGGGAGAUGAACAAGCGAACGGUCAAGAACCGUUACGCGUUGCCGAGGAUCGACGAUUUAUUCGAUCAGUUACAGGGAGCAUCUUGGUUCUCCAAGAUCGAUUUGAGGUCUGGAUAUCAUCAGGUGAGGGUGCGGGAUGAGGACGUCCAGAAGACAGCAUUCAGGACGCGUUAUGGGCAUUAUGAGUUUGUGGUGAUGCCUUUUGGGCUCACCAAUGCCCCGGCGGUGUUCAUGCAUCUCAUGAACCGAGUGUGUAGGCCGAUGCUGGAUCGCUCGGUGAUUGUGUUUACCGACGACAUUCUGGUAUAUUCGAGAUCUAGAGAGCAGCAUGAGGAGCCUUUGAGAGAGGUUCUCGGAGUUCUGAGGUCGGAGAGGCUUUAUGCCAAAUUCUCCAAGUGUGAUUUCUGGUUGCGGGAGGUCCAGUUCUUAGGACAUCUCGUUAACCAGGAAGGGAUAUUGGUCGAUCCGGCCAAGGUUGAGGCGGUGAUGAGUUGGGAAGUGCCGAGAUCACCCUCCGAGAUCAGGAGUUUCCUAGGGUUGGCAGGAUAUUAUCGGAGGUUUAUUAAGGAUUUCUCCAAGAUCGAAGUGCCACUCACCAGAUUGACCCGGAAGGGUGUUGCUUUUUCAUGGGGCCCCGAGCAGCAAGCCUCCUUUGAGACACUUCGCCAGAGGUUGUGCGAUGCCCUGGUGUUAGCUCUCCCCAAAGGGAUGGAGGACUUUCUGGUAUACUGUGAUGCAUCGAAUUUGGGAUUGGGAGCGGUGCUGAUGCAGAGGGGGCAUGUGAUAGCAUAUGCAUCGAGGCAGCUGAAGCCUCAUGAGACGAGAUAUCCCACCCAUGAUCUAGAGUUGGGGGCAGUGGUGUUCGCCCUCAAGAUUUGGCGUCACUACUUGUAUGGGGUUCGGUGUACGAUAUACACGGACCAUAAGAGUUUGAAGUAUUUGAUGGAUCAGCCCAACCUAAAUAUGCGUCAGAGAAGGUGGUUGGAUGUGGUCAAGGAUUAUGAUUGUGAGAUCCUGUACCACCCAGGCAAGGCUAAUGUGGUAGCCGAUGCAUUGAGCCGCAGGGCGGAGAGCACCCCGUUGCAGGAUGUAUGUUUGAGAUUGACCGUGAUAGCUCCAGUGUUGGACGCCAUUCGUGGGGCACAGGCCGAGGCUGUGCAACCUGAGAUGCAGAAGAGGGAACGGGUUGUUGGUUUGGUUUCAGAGUUCGUUACCGAUGGUCGGGGGCUUAUGACAUUUCAGGGGCGUAUCUGGGUGCCGUUUGUGGGAGGAACGCGUACCAUUUUGAUGGAGGAGGCUCAUCGGUCGAAAUUUUCGAUCCAUCCGGGGGCCACUAAGAUGUAUUUGGAUUUGAGAAAGGAGUAUUGGUGGCCCUGUAUGAAGAGGGAUGUCGCGUGGUUUGUUGAGAGGUGCUUGACCUGUCGUAGGGUUAAGGCCGAGCACCAGAGGCCGCAUGGUAAGUUGCAGCCAUUGGAGGUUCCCGAAUGGAAGUGGGAACAGAUCACUAUGGAUUUCAUCACCAAAUUGCCAAGGACUGCCAGAGGAGUUGAUGCAAUUUGGGUGAUUGUGGACAGGUUGACGAAGAGCGCUCACUUCCUUGCUAUCAGCGAGAGUUCUUCAGCAGAGAAAUUGGCGGAGGUGUAUGUGAGGGAAGUGGUAUCUCGGCAUGGGGUGCCGAUCUCGAUUGUUUCAGACCAUGAUGUGCGUUUCACUUUGAUGAGAUUAAAACUUAGUCUUGAAGAUCGAUUAGAUCUCAAAUAGGUAAAAUAAAGAUUAAACAGCAAGAACACGAAAACAAUAAACAACUCAAGAAUGAAUCAAACGUGUCGAAUGAUUAUAAAACAAUCCUCAGAAGAGCUCGAUCAAGAACAUCAACUGUAGAGGAUUAAAGGUUUACAGGAACGAUAAAGAAAAUCUGCAAAGCUAUCGUAAUUCUCUAUCUUGUAUUCUAGAUCGUUAACCUAAUAUGCAUGCAAGCACAUUAUUAUAUAGUAAACCUAACAGGCUCACGGUUGGACAGGCCCAAACCGGAGUACAAAAUAAUUGAACAAUUAACCGAGCCCAAUGACGCAAUAUUAAACAAAUCUGCAACCCAAUUCACUUCCAGAUUCUGGAAGAAGUUUCAUGAGGAGUUGGGUACUAGACUGCAUUUUAGUACCGCAUAUCAUCCCCAGACAGACGGUCAGAGUGAGCGGACGAUUCAGACGCUCAAGGACAAGCUCCGAGCAUGUGUGUUGGAUUUUGGGGGUAGCUGGGAUGCAUAUUUUCCCUUGGCAGAGUUUUCCUACAACAACAACCAUCAUUCGAGCAUUGGUAUGCCACCCUUUGAGCUGUUGUAUGGGAGGAGGUGUCGGACCCCUAUUUCUUGGGGAGAGGUUGGUCAGCGGGUGAUGGGCAGUACAAAGAUCGUGCUUCAGACAACAGAGCAGAUUCAGCAGGUCAGACAGAGGUUGUUGGCCGCUCAGAGCCAACAUAAGAGUUAUGCAGACAGACGCAGGUCCGAGCUUGAGUUUCAGGUCGGCGACCUUGUACUCCUGAAGGUCUCUCCUUGGAAAGGAGUGAUUCGAUUCAGGAAGAGGGCAAGUUGGAACCCAAUAUAUUGGUCCUUUCCGAGUGAUCACGAGGGUAGGCCGGGUAGCCUAUCAUUUGGAUUUGCCAGCAGAGUUGGGGCAGAUUCACGACACUUUUCAUGUGUCGCAGAUGAGGAAGUGUAUAGCCGAUGAGUCGGCAGUGGUUCCAUUAGAGGAUAUUCAGGUGGAUGCGAGCCUGAAUUAUGCCAAGAGACCAGUGGCCAUCAAAGAUCAGAAAAUCAAGGUUUUGAGGAACAAGGAGGUACCCCAGGUGUUGGUUCAGUGGCAGCAUCGGAAGGGGUCCGAGAUGACUUGGGAGCCGGAGCGUGAGAUGCGUGAUCAGCAUCCAAAGUUAUUUGUAGAGCGAGACUUCGAGGGCGAAGUCUAGUUCUAGUGGGGGAAAAUUGUAACAGCCCGGAUCCCCAGGUAUUUUUUAUUUAUUUUUGAUGAUUUGUGAGAAGACUCGGCGAGUUGGAGCCUAGACUCGCCGAGUAUGAUCGCGGAUUUGGACGCGGGUUCACGCCCAGACUCGGCGAGUUCGCGCUGUUUAAUGAAACCCUAAUUUCUCGGGUUUGGAGCUUAUUUAAAGGGCCUUAUGGCCGUCAUUUGUGCUCACCAGUCCCUUGAGAGAAACCCUAUUGAGCUUGAGCGUUUGGAGUAAGUCAAGGAGCCAUUAUUGACCUUGGAGGUGUUAUCUAGCAAGGGAAAGGAAGCAAUAGCCAAGGGGAAACAAGAGGAGCCACUUCCUGAAGAUUUGAGGUCCAGAACAUCACGUUUGAGGUACUAUUUUCGAACCAUUCUCUGUUAUGUUGAUGUUCAUGUUGAUUUAGGGCUUAUUGAGCCCUUUUGUGGCUAGAUCUAGUGCUUCCUUGGUCCCUUAAGCGAGUUAGGUUCUGGAUCUGGACCCUUGGAGGUCCAGAGUGUCCCUUUGUCUAAGCUUUUUAUGAAUCCAUGGGGGGUUUUGGAUUGGGGUCUUUGUGCUUGAGGUCAAAACACCAUUUAUGAGGCAUGUGGUGUGUUAUGAGCACCAAGACAUGAACUUUACGUGAUGAAUGUGCUUGGGAGGGCCAGAUCUAUGAGUUAUUGGAGCGGAUCUGACCUUAGAAGUGAGAUUGAGUUUGUGCAUGGCAUGGACUCGCCGAGUCCGAAGAACGGACUCGGCGAGUAGCAUGAAGUUUGUCCUUAACCACUCACCGAGUGGUCUUGCCGAGUUAAGGGUCGACUCAGUGAGUCAGGGAGAGUUAGAGAGGGUUGACAGGCGGACUGAGUCGAGCUGGAACUUGCCGAGUUGUUCUUGAGACUCGGCGAGUUGAGUCGUGGUGGCCCCGCGAUUCAUGCCAGGUGGAACUCGUCGGGUCAGGGGAGUACUCGACGUAUCAAAAGAGAAUCCUAGAGAGUUGGUGAAUAUGUAUAGACUAGCCGAGUCGCCCUAGUACACUCGCCGAGUCCGGUCAGAGUUGANGUUGACCGUUGACCGUUGACCAGAGUUGACCAGUGUUGACUUGAUAGGGGUAGUCAACCUUAGUGGUAAAAGUGUUAAUUAGAGAUGUAUGAUGUUAUAGGAGGAUUAUAGCCCGGAGGAUCGAGCACGAGUGAUUUCCAGGAUUCGCGGGUUAUCGAGAUAUACGAGGUGAGUCUUCUCACUAUACUUUACCUCGAGUAGCUAAUCAGAGUUAUGUGAUAGAGUAUAUGUAUGUUAUGUGUUGUACUGCAUGAUGUCUAUGUGAUUUGUGCUGUGCAUGUUUAUAGAGCUGGAACCGGAAGGUUCCCAGAGUUAGAACCAGUGAGUUCACAGAGUAGUGUCUACGAACCCACAGAGUUAUAGUCUAGAGUGGCUAAUAUGUGUUAUGUGUGGUAUUUUGGGGAACUCACUAUGCUUUGUGCUUAAAGUGUUAGUGUUGUUUGUUUCAGGUACUAGUGAUGGCCGUGGGAAGGCGCCGACUUGAUUUGUACACACGCAAGGGAUUUUUAUGUUAUGUGAUCUUCGGAUUUUGUAUGAUGUGAAUUGGAGAUUUAAACUUGAUGUUUUAAUAAAAUUAAAUGAAAAAUGUUUUUAUAUUUUGCGAAAAAUUAUUUUGAAAUUCACGGUGUUACAAGUUGGUAUCAGAGCCUUGGUUUGAGGGAUUCGAGUACACCUUCGGGUGUAUUUGAACUCAAACUGAGGAUUUGAGAAGUAUUUUCAAAAAGAGUAAAAGAUUUUGAAAAGAAACGCAAAGUAGAGUUGUGUGUACGAUCAGUCCGCGCCCGAACGGUGAUUUCCCAAAAUACCCUCAUGUUAUGUGCUAUUGAUAUUGAUAUGAUGUAUUCGCAUGCUAGAGUAGGCUAAGUAUUCCUAUUAGGACUAGAGUGGCCUGAUUUGUGAUGCCUUAGCCUAGGAAGUGGUGAGCUGCUAUUUGAUGCUUGAGAGUGAGUAGGUAGCAGCGAGAGGCUUAUGAGGGAUCUAUUAAAGAAUAGCUUGUGCAUGAUAGGGUACUUGGAAUUUGGGAUCCAAAGAGGAGGACUUGGGGUGUAUUCUGAUACGGUGCGGACAGUAGUAUUGGGCCCGUACUACUGAAAGCACCGGAGCGGUGUACAGCCCAAGUAAGAAUCUUU